UACGUAGGUGGCAAGCGUUGUCCGGAUUUACUGGGCGUAAAGAGCGCGCAGGCGGUCGUUCAAGUCGCGUGUGAAAGCCCCCGGCUCAACUGGGGAGGGUCACGCGAUACUGAUCGACUCGAAGGCAGGAGAGGGUAGUGGAAUUCCCGGUGUAGUGGUGAAAUGCGUAGAUAUCAAGCGGAACACCAGUGGCGAAGGCGAGUCCCUGGACAACUCCUGACACUGAGGCACGAAAGCUAGGGGAGCAAACAGG
rnacentral:rRNA from 1 species